UCCUAUGCUAUGAUGGGGAAUAGUAAAAAAACAAAACUUUUCCAGAGAAUAAACCCUAGGCUGUAAGGUUUUAGAGUAAUGUUUUUUGAACCCGCCCUUGAGCUGUUGGCUGAAGAAUAAGUAGGUUAUACCGGUGGACACCGUUAAAGUCAUCAAGAGAACCUUAUAGGUUAACUAGAGUGGUACCGCGGGAAAAGUAAGUCUCUCGUCUCUAAA
rnacentral:ncRNA from 1 species